rnacentral:tRNA from 1 species
GGCAGGGUAGCCUAGUGGUUAGAGCGUUGGGCUAGUGACCGAAAGGUUGUAAGUUCGAAUCCCCUGGCUG